rnacentral:rRNA from 1 species
GAAAGAGGGGGCAAUCGUUGUCAGGAGUUACUGGGCGUAAAGGGCGCGGAGGCGGUCUGCGGCGUCGGCGCUGAAAGCGCCCCGCUUAACGGGGCGAGGCGUGCCGAUACGCGCAGACUUGAGGCGAGCAGAGGGUGGUGGAACUCCGGGUGGAGCGGUGAAAUGCGUAGAGAUCCGGAGGAACGCCAGUGGGGAAGCCGGCCACCUGGGCUCGUCCUGACGCUGCGGCGCGACAGCGUGGGGAGAAAACCGG